CUACGGGUGGCAGCAGUGGGGAAUAUUGCACAAUGGGCGCAAGCCUGAUGCAGCCAUGCCGCGUGUAUGAAGAAGGCCUUCGGGUUGUAAAGUACUUUCAGCGGGGAGGAAGGGAGUAAAGUUAAUACCUUUGCUCAUUGACGUUACCCGCAGAAGAAGCACCGGCUAACUCCGUGCCAGCAGCCGCGGUAAUACGGAGGGUGCAAGCGUUAAUCGGAAUUACUGGGCGUAAAGCGCACGCAGGCGGUUUGUUAAGUCAGAUGUGAAAUCCCCGGGCUCAACCUGGGAACUGCAUCUGAUACUGGCAAGCUUGAGUCUCGGAGAGGGGGGUAGAAUUCCAGGUGUAGCGGGGAAAUGCGUAGAGAUCUGGAGGAAUACCGGUGGCGAAGGCGGCCCCCUGGACGAAGACUGACGCUCAGGUGCGAAAGCGUGGGGAGCAAACAGGAUUAGAUACCCCUGUAGUC
rnacentral:rRNA from 1 species